AAAAAGUUAGUUAAAAUAUAACAUAAACUUGUCAAGUUUAAAUUAUUAUUCAUAAUACUUUUUU
rnacentral:tRNA from 1 species